rnacentral:rRNA from 1 species
UACAGAGGUCUCAAGCGUUGUUCGGAUUCAUUGGGCGUAAAGGGUGCGUAGGUGGCGCCGUAAGUCGGGUGUGAAAUUUCGGAGCUUAACUCCGAAACUGCAUUCGAUACUGCGGUGCUUGAGGACUGGAGAGGAGACUGGAAUUCAUGGUGUAGCAGUGAAAUGCGUAGAGAUCAUGAGGAAGACCAGAGGCGAAGGCGGUUACCUGGACAGUUACUGACGCUCAGGCACGAAAGCGUGGGGAGCAAAAGGG